rnacentral:tRNA from 1 species
GGGGAUGGAGCUCAGUGGUGGAGCACAUGUGUCACACACAUGAGGCCCUGGAUUCCAUCCCCG